ACUUUGGAUUCUAAAUCUUUAAUACCCUUUUUUUGUAUUAUUUUGUUCAUUUGUAUAGCUUGAUACUAGAAUUGCAUGUUACUUCUGGCUUAUCAUAGAGGCACUCUGAUGUGUUCCUUCUUAUACAUGUAGGCCUCAUUUAUACAUGUAACAUAUGUUUUAGAAGACUUACUAUAAUUAUUUUUUAUUUUAUAGAUUUCAUAAAAAUCUGGACUAUUUUUUACAACUCCAGUACUUACAUAUACAUUUAUUUUGCAUUGUAAUGUACAGGUUAUGAGCUUAUGUACUUUUUGAAAAUCAUUACUAUUAUGAUGUUUUUCAUGUACAUGUAAACUUGUUUUCUUUAUCUUAUAAUCUAGUCAUGAUGUCGCAUAAUGAUAAAUGCUUUUGCCUCCUAUUAUUUGUGUUGACUAUUUACAUCAAUUUAAUCGUUUUAUGCAGAUACUUUUGACAUACAUGUUUACUAGACAGUACUAUAAGCUUAUAUUAUGGCUUUUGAUAGUAUUUAUUUUGCAUUGCAAGUGUUCGAUAGGGAGGGGGAUGUCGAAGUUAAUCUCUCAAACUGUGUGUCACUGUUUUGGGAGGAGUGAGUUUAAUGCAAGACGAUACAUGUAAUGAUGAGUUUAUGUGAACAGGGGUGUUUAAUGUAAAAAUAACAGAUACAUGUAUUUAUCUUUUAAAGUAUGUAAGAGAGUUAACACAUAAGCUUUUUUUAAAAUAUGCAUUAAAGUUUACGUGUAAAAUGUUGUACAUUGUAUGCAUGUAUAUCCGUAACAAAGUAAUAUCUGAUUUAAAACAUGUAAUUUAACAUUUUCACUGGAAUUAAUUGUAAUUGUUAAUAUCAAUAUGUCAAAAUUAAACUGAUUAAAUAAUGAACAAUAGUGCAACAUUUUUGAUAAACUGAAAUAAAAUUUUCUGUCUU
rnacentral:misc_RNA from 1 species